rnacentral:rRNA from 1 species
CACGCCCUAAACGAUGACAACUAGCUUUUCGGAGUAUCGACCCUCUGAGAGGCGAAGCUAACGCGUUAAGUUGUCCGCCUGGGUANAAACGAAAAACCUUACCAAGGUUUGAAACCUAGCUGAAUACUCGGAGAAACUCGAGUAGUCCCACAAGGACAGUUAGGCAGGUGA